rnacentral:rRNA from 1 species
AGUGACAGGUGGUGCAUGGUUGUCGUCAGCUCGUGUCGUGAGAUGUUGGGUUAAGUCCCGCAACGAGCGCAACCCUUAAGCUUAGUUGCCAGCAUUAAGUUGGGCACUCUAAGUUGACUGCCGGUGACAAACCGGAGGAAGGUGGGGAUGACGUCAAAUCAUCAUGCCCCUUAUGAUUUGGGCUACACACGUGCUACAAUGGACAAUACAAAGGGCAGCUAAACCGCGAGGUCAUGCAAAUCCCAUAAAGUUGUUCUCAGUUCGGAUUGUAGUCUGCAACUCGACUACAUGAAGCUGGAAUCGCUAGUAAUCGUAGAUCAGCAUGCUACGGUGAAUACGUUCCCGGGUCUUGUACACACCGCCCGUCACACCACGAGAGCCUGUAACACCCGAAGCCGGUGGAGUAACCAUUUAUGGAGCUAGCCGUCGAAGGUGGGACAAAUGAUUGGGGUGAAGUCGUAACAAGGUAGCCGUAUCGGAAGGUGCGGUUGGAUCACCUC